CCUUUUCAAUUCUUCGCUCUUCCGCAUUUUGUCAACCGACUUCCGCUGCUAAUAUGGCACAGUGCAUUCGGUAGCUAGUUUGGUGGUUAGAAGAUUGUUUGUAGUUCACUAUAACUUUAGCGAAAUGACAAAUAUCGCAACUGCUGUAAAUGUUUUGAAUUAGGAGCACGGAGAAAACUUGAUACGACGCUCGGAUAGUCUUAUAAUGUCCCAUCAAUCGUCUCGUGGUUAGACGAUAUGAAGCGGCCGCGGCAAGAAACCUAUGGGACAUAUUUAAUUACCUCGUCCUCUCAGAAGGAGUUGAUGGAGCAGCAUUAUUAAAGUAAUUAUGCUUACCAAUAUUUACACAGUGAUUUCGUCUUUUUUAAAGCAAAUGUGCACCUUAGCCAGUCCAAUAACUAUUUCGUUUUUAUGUGGUAAUGUACCAUGAUAGAAUUCAUUUGCAAACUUGCCAACACUUAUUCCUUCAAAUCACGAGACUUAAAUCCUUUUAAGUGGAAUCUACAAAGCUCACAUAUGGUUUAAGAAAUUCCUUACAGAUAAUAUCUGAUCACACUGUAAAUGUUUAAUAUAACUGCACAACAUCUGAUCACAUUGUAAAGGUUUAAUAUAACUGCAUGACAGAUAACAUCUGAUCACAUUGUAAAGAUUUAAUAUAACUGCACAACAUCUGAUCACAUUGUAAAGGUUUAAUAUAACUGCAUGACAGAUAACAUCUGAUCACAUUGUAAAGAUUUAAUAUAACUGCACAACAUCUGAUCACAUUGUAAAGAUUUAAUAUAACUGCACAACAUCUGAUCACAUUGUAAAGGUUUAAUAUAACUGCAUGGCAGGUAAUAUCUGAUCACAUUAUAAAGGUUUAAUAUAAAUGCACAACAGAUCACAUUGUAAAUGUUUAAUAUCACUGCAUGACAUCUGAUCACAUAUGAAGGUUUAAAUGUAACUUUACAACAGGUAAAAUCAGGUCAAA